GAUGAACGCUGGCGGCGUGCCUAACACAUGCAAGUCGAGCGAUUCUCUUCGGAGAAGAGCGGCGGACGGGUGAGUAACGCGUGGGUAACCUGCCCUGUACACACGGAUAACAUACCGAAAGGUAUGCUAAUACGGGAUAAUAUAUAAGAGUCGCAUGACUUUUAUAUCAAAGAUUUUUCGGUACAGGAUGGACCCGCGUCUGAUUAGCUUGUUGGCGGGGUAACGGCCCACCAAGGCGACGAUCAGUAGCCGACCUGAGAGGGUGAUCGGCCACAUUGGAACUGAGACACGGUCCAAACUCCUACGGGAGGCAGCAGUGGGGAAUAUUGCACAAUGGGCGCAAGCCUGAUGCAGCAACGCCGCGUGAGCGAUGAAGGCCUUCGGGUCGUAAAGCUCUGUCCUCAAGGAAGAUAAUGACGGUACUGAGAGAG
rnacentral:rRNA from 1 species